rnacentral:rRNA from 1 species
UGGGGAGUAACGGCCGCAAGGUUAAAACUCAAAUGAAUUGACGGGGGCCCCGCACAAGCGGUGGAGCAUGUGGUUUAAUUCGAUGCAAACGCGAAGAACCUUACCUACUCUUGACAUCCACGGAAUUUGGCAGAGAUGCCUUAGUGCCUUCGGGAACCGUGAGACAGGUGCUGCAUGGCUGUCGUCAGCUCGUGUUGUGAAAUGUUGGGUUAAGUCCCGCAACGAGCGCAACCCUUAUCCUUUGUUGCCAGCGAUUCGGUCGGGAACUCAAAGGAGACUGCCGGUGAUAAACCGGAGGAAGGUGGGGAUGACGUCAAGUCAUCAUGGCCCUUACGAGUAGGGCUACACACGUGCUACAAUGGCGCAUACAAAGAGAAGCGACCUCGCGAGAGCAAGCGGACCUCAUAAAGUGNGUNGUAGUCCGGAUCGGAGUCUGCAACUCGACUCCGUGAAGUCGGAAUCGCUAGUAAGUCGUGGAUCAGAAUGCCAC